UACGGAGGGUGCGAGCGUUGUCCGGAAUCACUGGGCGUAAAGGGCGCGUAGGCGGCCCGGUAAGGUUGCGGUGAAAGCCCGGGGCUCAACCCCGGGUCGGCCGUGGCAACUGCUGGGCUGGAGCGCAGUAGAGGCGGGUGGAAUUCCGGGUGUAGCGGUGGAAUGCGUAGAGAUCCGGAAGAACACCGGUGGCGAAGGCGGCCCGCUGGGCUGUUGCUGACGCUGAGGCGCGACAGCGUGGGGAGCAAACAGG
rnacentral:rRNA from 1 species